AUUCCGUCGGAAUCUGGGAGGACCAUCUCCUAAGGCUAAAUACUCUCUAGUGACCGAUAGUGAACCAGUACCGUGAGGGAAAGGUGAAAAGCACCCCGGAAGGGGAGUGAAAUAGAACCUGAAACCGUGUGCUUACAAGUAGUCAGAGCCCGUUAAUGGGUGAUGGCGUGCCUUUUGUAGAAUGAACCGGCGAGUUACGAUUUGAUGCAAGGUUAAGCAGUAAAUGUGGAGCCGUAGCGAAAGCGAGUCUGAAUAGGGCGUUUAGUAUUUGGUCGUAGACCCGAAACCAGGUGAUCUACCCUUGGUCAGGUUGAAGUUCAGGUAACACUGAAUGGAGGACCGAACCGACUUACGUUGAAAAGUGAGCGGAUGAACUGAGGGUAGCGGAGAAAUUCCAAUCGAACCUGGAGAUAGCUGGUUCUCUCCGAAAUAGCUUUAGGGCUAGCCUCAAGUGAUGAUUAUUGGAGGUAGAGCACUGUUUGGACGAGGGGCCCCUCUCGGGUUACCGAAUUCAGACAAACUCCGAAUGCCAAUUAAUUUAACUUGGGAGUCAGAACAUGGGUGAUAAGGUCCGUGUUCGAAAGGGAAACAGCCCAGACCACCAGCUAAGGUCCCAAAAUAUAUGUUAAGUGGAAAAGGAUGUGGCGUUGCCCAGACAACUAGGAUGUUGGCUUAGAAGCAGCCAUCAUUUAAAGAGUGCGUAAUAGCUCACUAGUCGAGUGACACUGCGCCGAAAAUGUACCGGGGCUAAACAUAUUACCGAAGCUGUGGAUUGUCCUUUGGACAAUGGUAGGAGAGCGUUCUAAGGGCGUUGAAGCAUGAUCGUAAGGACAUGUGGAGCGCUUAGAAGUGAGAAUGCCGGUGUGAGUAGCGAAAGACGGGUGAGAAUCCCGUCCACCGAUUGACUAAGGUUUCCAGAGGAAGGCUCGUCCGCUCUGGGUUAGUCGGGUCCUAAGCUGAGGCCGACAGGCGUAGGCGAUGGAUAACAGGUUGAUAUUCCUGUACCACCUAUAAUCGUUUUAAUCGAUGGGGGGACGCAGUAGGAUAGGCGAAGCGUGCGAUUGGAUUGCACGUCUAAGCAGUAAGGCUGAGUAUUAGGCAA
rnacentral:rRNA from 1 species